rnacentral:rRNA from 1 species
CGAUCAGAUACCGCCCUAGUUCUGACCGUAAACGAUGCCAACUAGCGAUCCGCCGGUGGCCCUUAGGCCCUGGUGGGGAGCUUCCCGGAAACGAAAGUCUUCCGGUUCCGGGGGAAGUAUGGUUGCAAAGCUGAAACUUAAAGGAAUUGACGGAAGGGCACCACCAGGAGUGGAGCCUGCGGCUUAAUUUGACUCAACACGGGGAAACUCACCCGGCCCGGACACCGUGAGGAUUGACAGAUUGAUAGCUCUUUCAUGAUUCGGUGGUUGGUGGUGCAUGGCCGUUCUUAGUUCGUGGAUCGAUUUGUCUGGUUUAUUCCGAUAACGAGCGAGACUCUAGCCUACUAACUAGUGCGGGCAUUGCCGCUGUGCCUCGCCGCACUUCUUAGAGGGAUUGGCUGCGUCUAGCAGCACGAAACAGAGCAAUAACAGGUCUGUGAUGCCCUUAGAUGUCCGGGGCUGCACGCGCGCUACACUGGCAAAGGCAGCGUGCUUGUCCGCCUCCGAAAGGAGCCGGUAAACCGAUGAAAAUUUGCCGUGAUUGGGAUCGGAAAUUGCAAUUAUUUUCCGUGAACGAGGAAUUCCAAGUAAGUGCGAGUCAUCAGCUCGCGUUGAUUACGUCCCUGCCCUUUGUACACACCGCCCGUCGCUGCCUAGAACUGAGCCAUUUCGAGAAUAUUCGGGAUCGCUGGCUUGGGGCCUUUCGGGGCUUCAUUCCGGCAAGAGAACGAACGUAAUCGCAGUGGCUUGAACCGGGCAAAAGUCGUAACAAGGUAGCUGUAGGUGAACCUGCUGCUGGAUCAUUACCUUGUCAAAUAACGACAAACUUUUUUGCUGGACUGUUGUUGUGAGCUAACGUCCCGGCUCGUCAACAACAGUGUUGGUGGGAGAAUGCCGCUUAUCUCCCGUGCGGGUUAGUUUGUGAGCGCCAAUAGUCCCGUUUGGCAUGGCCCUAAACGUCUCUGGGCCGAGACAAGUAGCUUUGCCCGCCCUACUGGCUCUUGUCUCAGUCUCUGUCUCACAAACGAAAACGGCUUCGCUGGAUCCUAUACAAUGCUGAGCAGCUGUUGUCUCAAUGUCCGUGGCUUGCCGUGAAGCAUUGUGAUAGCCCUUCGACUGUGCCCUAACCGGCGCGGAAGGAGUAGGAUUAAUGAGUACCAGAGAGGUGCCGCCAGCGCAAAAUUUUCUUUUCAAUAUUUUUUCCUAAACAAAACGAAUACAUUAGUCUUACCGGUGGAUCACUCGGCUCGUAGGUCGAUGAAGAUCGCAGCCAAAUGCGAUAGUUAGUGUGAACUGCAGAUAUUCUGAGCACUAAAGCAUCGAAUGUACAUUACGCCUUGGGACUCGCCAUCCCUUGGCACGCCUGGUUCAGGGUAUUUCAAAUCAAAAGCACUAGUAAGUGGGUGCUGACUAUUGCUCUUGCGCUGGAAUCAAGCCGCACAAAAAGAUUUCCGGAGCAGAGCAGUUAGUGAAUGGCUCAUGGGAAAUUGCUGUCCCGGUUUGGAGCGGUUCUUGUAAAACUCAAAAAAUCCGCGAAUGAACCGUCUCUGACUGAGGGCAGUGACCAUGGGUAGCUAGGAAGCAAUUUUUUUUUGCACUCAUUCUAUGACCUGAACUCAGACGUGAUCACCCGCUGAACUUAAGCAUAUCAGUAAGCGGAGGAAAAGAAACUAACAAG